rnacentral:sRNA from 1 species
GUAUCGGUUCGAUUGGGAUACUCAUCAAAUUACAUUGAAAACCGAGCAUGCUUCUCUUGCCAAUGGCGGGCCACAUAAAUCGCAUCGCCGCGACUAAGCUGUAAAGCCGGUGGAUUACAAAGACGGAGAGCGCUCACAACUUUUAUAGCUGGAGUUUUCAUCACAUCAUCGUUACGGUCC